GAUGAACGCUGGCGGCGUGCCUAAUACAUGCAAGUCGAGCGAACGGACGAGAAGCUUGCUUCUCUGAUGUUAGCGGCGGACGGGUGAGUAACACGUGGAUAACCUACCUAUAAGACUGGGAUAACUUCGGGAAACCGGAGCUAAUACCGGAUGAUAUUUUGAACCGCAUGGUUCAAAAGUGAAAGACGGUCUUGCUGUCACUUAUAGAUGGAUCCGCGCUGCAUUAGCUAGUUGGUAAGGUAACGGCUUACCAAGGCAACGAUGCAUAGCCGACCUGAGAGGGUGAUCGGCCACACUGGAACUGAGAAACGGUCCAGACUCCUACGGGAGGCAGCAGUAGGGAAUCUUCCGCAAUGGGCGAAAGCCUGACGGAGCAACGCCGCGUGAGCGAUGAAGGUCUUCGGAUCGUAAAACUCUGUUAUUAGGGAAGAACAUAUGUGUAAGUAACUGUGCACAUCUUGACGGUACCUAAUCAGAAAGCCACGGCUAACUACGUG
rnacentral:rRNA from 1 species